CACGUAGGGCGCAAGCGUUGUCCGGAAUUAUUGGGCGUAAAGAGCUCGUAGGCGGUCUGUUGCGUCCGCUGUGAAAACUCGGGGCUUAACCCCGAGCCUGCAGUGGAUACGGGCAGACUAGAGGUAGGUAGGGGAGACUGGAAUUCCUGGUGUAGCGGUGAAAUGCGCAGAUAUCAGGAAGAACACCAAUGGCGAAGGCAGCUCUCUGGGACGGUACUGACACUGAGACGCGAAAGCGUGGGGAGCGAACAGG
rnacentral:rRNA from 1 species